rnacentral:rRNA from 1 species
GAUGAACGCUGGCGGCGUGCUUAACACAUGCAAGUCGAGCGAAGCGAUUUUAAGGAAGCCUUUGGGUGGAAUUAAAAUUGACUUAGCGGCGGACGGGUGAGUAACGCGUGGGUAACCUGCCUCAUACAGGGGGAUAACAGUUAGAAAUGACUGCUAAUACCGCAUAAGCGCACAGUGCUGCAUAGCACAGUGUGAAAAACUCCGGUGGUAUGAGAUGGACCCGCGUCUGAUUAGGUAGUUGGUGAGGUAACGGCCCACCAAGCCGACGAUCAGUAGCCGACCUGAGAGGGUGACCGGCCACAUUGGGACUGAGACACGGCCCAAACUCCUACGGGAGGCAGCAGUGGGGAAUAUUGGACAAUGGGGGAAACCCUGAUCCAGCGACGCCGCGUGACUGAAGAAGUAUUUCGGUAUGUAAAGGUCUAUCAGCAGGGAGGAAAAUGACGGUACCUGACUAAGAAGCCCCGGCUAACUACGUGCCAGCCGCCGCCGUAA